CCUACGGGUGGCAGCAGUGGGGAAUAUUGGACAAUGGGGGGAACCCUGAUCCAGCCAUGCCGCGUGUGUGAAGAAGGCCCUCGGGUUGUAAAGCACUUUCAGCGAGGAAGAACGCCUGGUGGUUAAUACCCAUCAGGAAAGACAUCACUCACAGAAGAAGCACCGGCUAACUCCGUGCCAGCAGCCGCGGUAAUACGGAGGGUGCGAGCGUUAAUCGGAAUUACUGGGCGUAAAGCGCGCGUAGGUGGCUUGAUAAGCCGGUUGUGAAAGCCCCGGGCUCAACCUGGGAACGGCAUCCGGAACUGUCAAGCUAGAGUGCAGGAGAGGAAGGUAGAAUUCCCGGUGUAGCGGUGAAAUGCGUAGAGAUCGGGAGGAAUACCAGUGGCGAAGGCGGCCUUCUGGACUGACACUGACACUGAGGUGCGAAAGCGUGGGUAGCAAACAGGAUUAGAUACCCUUGUAGUC
rnacentral:rRNA from 1 species